GAUGAACGCUGGCGGCGUGCCUAAUACAUGCAAGUCGAGCGAACGGACGAGAAGCUUGCUUCUCUGAUGUUAGCGGCGGACGGGUGAGUAGCACGUGGAUAACCUACCUAUAAGACUGGGAUAACUUCGGGAAACCGGAGCUAAUACCGGAUAAUAUUUUGAACCGCAUGGUUCAAAAGUGAAAGACGGUCUUGCUGCCACUUAUAGAUGGAUCCGCGCUGCAUUAGCUAGUUGGUAAGGUAACGGCUUACCAAGGCAACGAUGCAUAGCCGACCUGAGAGGGUGAUCGGCCACACUGGAACUGAGACACGGUCCAGACUCCUACGGGAGGCAGCAGUAGGGAAUCUUCCGCAAUGGGCGAAAGCCUGACGGAGCAACGCCGCGUGAGUGAUGAAGGUCUUCGGAUCGUAAAACUCUGUUAUUAGGGAAGAACAUAUGUGUAAGUAACUGUGCACAUCUUGACGGUACCUAAUCAGAAAGCCACGGCUAACUACGUGCCAGCAGCCGCGGUAAUACGUAGGUGGCAAGCGUUAUCCGGAAUUAUUGGGCGUAAGCGCGCGUAGGCGGUUUUUUAGUCUGAUGUGAAAGCCCACGGCUCAACCGUGGAGGGUCAUUGGAAACUGGAAAACUUGAGUGCAGAAGAGGAAAGUGGAAUUCCAUGUGUAGCGGUGAAAUGCGCAGAGAUAUGGAGGAACACCAGUGGCGAAGGCGACUUUCUGGUCUGUAACUGACGCUGAUGUGCGAAAGCGUGGGGAUCAAACAGGAUUAGAUACCCUGGUAGUCCACGCCGUAAACGAUGAGUGCUAAGUGUUAGGGGGUUUCCGCCCCUUAGUGCUGCAGCUAACGCAUUAAGCACUCCGCCUGGGGAGUACGACCGCAAGGUUGAAACUCAAAGGAAUUGACGGGGACCCGCACAAGCGGUGGAGCAUGUGGUUUAAUUCGAAGCAACGCGAAGAACCUUACCAAAUCUUGACAUCCUUUGACAACUCUAGAGAUAGAGCUUUCCCCUUCGGGGGACAAGGUGGCAGGUGGUGCAUGGUUGUCGUCAGCUCGUGUCGUGAGGUGUUGGGUUAAGUCCCGCAACGAGCGCAACCCUUAAGCUUAGUUGCCAUCAUUAAGUUGGGCACUCUAAGUUGACUGCCGGUGACAAACCGGAGGAAGGUGGGGAUGACGUCAAAUCAUCAUGCCCCUUAUGAUUUGGGCUACACACGUGCUACAAUGGACAAUACAAAGGGCAGCGAAACCGUGAGGUCAAGCAAAUCCCAUAAAGUUGUUCUCAGUUCGGAUUGUGGUCUGCAACUCGACUACAUGAAGCUGGAAUCGCUAGUAAUCGUAGAUCAGCAUGCUACGGUGAAUACGUUCCCGGGUCU
rnacentral:rRNA from 1 species